UCUUUAUAGACUGUGCUGGCACUCCGGGACGGAGACCACUUCAGCGCCAGUUUCCGGUCGCGACUGAAGGUCUCCUCUUCCGGCACUGGCAUCAGAGCACAGCACGCCUGUGAGCUGCACCACCACUAGCGGGCCACCUGACACUCAUAUUGAAAGAACUCAUUUUUUGCACGCUGGUGGAAUGGAGGUAAAGGAAUCACGUAUCUCGAAA